rnacentral:rRNA from 1 species
CACUUCUAAGGAAGGUAGCAGGCGCGCAAAUUACCCAAUCCUGACUCAGGGAGGUAGUGACAAGAAAUAACAAUAAACCGGCUUAUGCCGGUUUAAUUGGAAUGAGUACAAUUUAAACAUCUUAACGAGGAACAAUUGGAGGGCAAGUCUGGUGCCAGCAGCCGCGGUAAUUCCAGCUCCAAUAGCGUAUACUAAAGUUGUUGCAGUUAAAAAGCUCGUAGUUGGAUUUCUGUGGGGACGGAGCGGCCGGCCGCAACACGCGGUUCGAGCUAGCGCUUUCCCUACAUCCUGCCGCGAACCGUGCUACCAUUAGUUUGGUGGCGCCGGGGAUCGGCUCGAUUACUUUGAGAAAAAUAGAGUGUUCAAAGCAGGCCACACGCCUUGAAUAAGUUAGCAUGGAAUAAUAACUAAGGACUUCGGUUCUAUUUUGUUGGUGUUCGGGACUGAAGUAAUGAUUGAUAGGGACAGUUGGGGCGGUCUGUAUUCCAAAGCGAGAGGUGAAAUUCUUAGACCUUCGGAAGACAAACAGCUGCGAAAGCGUUCCGCAAGGAUGUUCCCUUUGAUCAAGAACGAAAGUUGGGGGAUCGAAGACGAUCAGAUACCGUCGUAGUCUCAACUAUAAACUAUACCAGCUAGGGAUCGGCCAACGUUAUUCUAUACCGACUUGGUCGGCACCUUAUGAGAAAUCAAAGCAUCUGAGUUCCGGGGGGAGUAUGGUCGCAAGGCUGAAACUUAAAGGAAUUGACGGAAGGGCACCACCAGCCGUGGAGCCUGUGGCUUAAUUUGACUCAACACGGGAAAACUUACCAGGUCCAGACAUAGUAAGGAUUGACAGAUUGAUAGCUCUUUCUUGAUUCUGUGGGUGGUGGUGCAUGGCCGUUCUUAGUUGGUGGAGUGAUUUGUCUGGUUAAUUCCGUUAACGAACGAGACCCCAGCCUGCUAAAUAGCGCGUGUGAGCUUUGCUCGCAGCGGGCUUCUUAGAGGGACUAUGAUGCGCGAUAGCACAUGGAAGUUUGGGGCAAUAACAGGUCUGUGAUGCCCUUAGAUGUUCUGGGCCGCACACGGGCUACACUGGCGCCUGCAACGAGCAUAUCAGCUGGCCCGAGAGGGUCUUGGCUAAUCUUUUGAACCGGCGCCGUGCUUGGGAUUGACCUUUGCAAUUGUUGGUCAUGCAACGAGGAAUGCCUUGUAAACGCGAGUCAUCAGCUCACAUUGAAUACGUCCCUGCCCUUUGUACACACCGCCCGUCGCUCCUACCGAUGAAUGUUCCGAUGAAAUUUUCGGAGAGUGCCUGUGAACUUGGCUCUGCCUUGCGAACGGGAAGCUCAAAGUCACUUAAAUCUGAACAUUUCGAGG